AUUGAACGCUGGCGGCAGGCUUAACACAUGCAAGUCAAGCGGAGAUGAGGAGCUUGCACCUUAUCUUAGCGGCGGACGGGUGAGUAAUGCUUAGGAAUCUGCCUAUUAGCGGGGGACAACAUUCCGAAAGGAAUGCUAAUACCGCCUACGUUCUACGGGCGAAAGCACGGGAUCUUCGGACCUUGCGCUAAUAGAUGAGCCUAAGUCGGAUUAGCUAGUUGGUGGGGUAAAGGCCUACCAAGGCGACGAUCUGUAGCGGGUCUGAGAGGAUGAUCCGCCACACUGGGACUGAGACACGGCCCAGACUCCUACGGGAGGCAGCAGUGGGGAAUAUUGGACAAUGGGGGGAACCCUGAUCCAGCCAUGCUGCGUGUGUGAAGAAGGCCUUAUGGUUGUAAAGCACUUUAAGCGAGGAGGAGGCUACUGAGACUAAUACUCUUGGAUAGUGGACGUUACUCGCAGAAUAAGCACCGGCUAACUCUGUGCCAGCCGCCGCCGUUAAUAC
rnacentral:rRNA from 1 species